rnacentral:rRNA from 1 species
AGUGAACGCUGGCGGUAGGCCUAACACAUGCAAGUCGAACGGCAGCACAGUAAGAGCUUGCUCUUACGGGUGGCGAGUGGCGGACGGGUGAGGAAUACAUCGGAAUCUACUUUUUCGUGGGGGAUAACGUAGGGAAACUUACGCUAAUACCGCAUACGACCUACGGGUGAAAGCAGGGGAUCUUCGGACCUUGCGCGAUUGAAUGAGCCGAUGUCGGAUUAGCUAGUUGGCGGGGUAAAGGCCGACCAAGGCGACGAUCCGUAGCUGGUCUGAGAGGAUGAUCGGCCACACGGGAACUGAGACACGGUCCAGACUCCUACGAGAGGCAGCAGUGGGGAAUAUUGGACAAUGGUCGCAAGCAUGAUCCAGCCAUACCGCGUGGGUGAAGAAGGCCUUCGGGUUGUAAAGCCCUUUUGUUGGGAAAGAAAAGCAGCAGGUUAAUACCCCGCUGUUCUGACGGUACCCAAAGAAUAAGCACCGGCUAACUUCGUG